rnacentral:rRNA from 1 species
CCCUUAGAUGUCCUGGGCCGCACGCGCGUUACACUGAUGCAUUCAACGAGCUUAUAACCUUGGCCGAGAGGCCUGGGCAAUCUUGUUAACGUGCAUCGUGAUAGGGAUAGAUUAUUGAAAUUAUUAAUCUUGAACGAGGAAUUCCUAGUAAACGCAGAUCAUCAAUCUGCAUUGAUUACGUCCCUGCCCUUUGUACACACCGCCCGUCGCACCUACCGAUUGGAUGGUCCGGCGAAGCCUCGGGAUUGUGGUUCUUGCCGCUUUAUUGUGGCGUGACCGCGAGAACUUGUCUAAACCUUAUCAUCUAGAGGAAGGUGAAGUCGUAACA